UCUGGUACAUGGAGUACUCACACCGAAU
rnacentral:piRNA from 1 species